rnacentral:misc_RNA from 1 species
UAGAAAGUGGAUAAAACUCACUUCCCCUGUUUUAGAGCACCAAAAUUCUCUUUAACAAUGGCUUCUUCAUCAUCAUACAAAAAAUUCGAGACGCGAAAACGAGAUCCAGAUCCAAAAUCCGCUGUUCUAUUGGUGAUUGAUAUGCAGAACUACUUCUACUCCAUGGGUAAACCGAUUCUACCAGCAAUCAAAACCACAAUCGAUCUCUGCCGGCGGAAUUCCGUGCCGGUGAUAUUCAC